GCCAGGCAUGGUGGCGGGUGCCUGUAAUCCCAGCUACUCCGGAGGCUGAGGCAGGGGAAUCACUUGAACCUGGGGGGCGGAGGUUGCAGUGAGCUGUGAUCAUGCCACUGUACUCUAGCCUGGGCGACAGAGUGAGACCCUGUCUCAA
rnacentral:SRP_RNA from 1 species